AAUGAACGCUGGCGGCGUGCCUAAUACAUGCAAGUCGAGCGGUAAGGCUCUGCACUUAGUAUUUGAUCGGGGUAGUAUCCGGGGUUAGAAAUAGUCCUUGGAGACUGCUACAGCGAAUCAACUCGAACCUAGGCUAGGGGAGAUGCGACGAGGGAAGAUCGAAUCAUAAGUGUAGAGUACACGAGCGGCGGACGGCUGAGUAACGCGUAGGAACGUACCCCGAAGUGAGGCAUAAGCACUGGAAACAGUGUCUAAUACCGCAUGUGCUCUACGGAGUAAAGGAUUUAUCCGCUUUGGGAACGGCCUGCGUCUGAUUAGCUUGUUGGUGAGGUAAAAGCUCACCAAGGCGACGAUCAGUAGCUGGUCUGAGAGGAUGAUCAGCCAGACUGGGACUGAGACACGGCCC
rnacentral:rRNA from 1 species